rnacentral:rRNA from 1 species
GAUGAACGCUGGCGGCGUGCCUAAUACAUGCAAGUCGAACGGUGUCUUCGGACAUAGUGGCGCACGGGUGCGUAACACGUAUGCAACCUACCUUACAUUGGGGGAUAGCCUUUCGAAAGGGAGAUUAAUACCGCAUAAGACAGUAGCUGGGCAUCCAGCAGCUGUUAAAGAUUUAUCGAUGUAAGCUGGGCAUGCGUCCAAUUAGCUAGUUGGUGAGGUAACGGCUCACCAAGGCAAUGAUUGGUAGGGGAACUGAGAGGUCAAUCCCCCACACUGGCACUGAGAUACGGGCCAGACUCCUACGGGAGGCAGCAGUAGGGAAUAUUGGGCAAUGGACGCAAGUCUGACCCAGCCAUGCCGCGGGCAGGAUGAAGGCGUUAUGCGUUGUAAACUGCUUUUAUACAGGAAGAAACGACUCUUGCGAGAGGCAUUGACGGUACUGUAUGAAUAAGCACCGGCUAACUCUGUGCCAGCCGCCGCAGUAACAC